rnacentral:rRNA from 1 species
CCUACGGGAGGCAGCAGUGGGGAAUAUUGGUCAAUGGACGCAAGUCUGAACCAGCCAUGCCGCGUGCAGGAAGACGGCUCUAUGAGUUGUAAACUGCGUUUGUACGAGGGUAAACGCAGAUACGCGUAUCUGUCUGAAAGUAUCGUACGAAUACGGAUCGGCGAACUCCGUGCCAGCAGCCGCGGUAAUACGGAGGAUUCAAGCGUUAUCCGGAUUUAUUGGGUUUAAAGGGUGCGUAGGCGGUCGGAUAAGUUAGAGGUGAAAUCCCGAGGCUCAACUUCGGAAUUGCCUCUGAUACUGUUAGGCUAGAGAGUAGUAGAGGUAGGCGGAAUGUAUGGUGUAGCGGUGAAAUGCUUAGAGAUCAUACAGAACACCGAUUGCGAAGGCAGCUUACCAGGCUACUUCUGACGUUGAGGCACGAAAGCGUGGGGAGCAAACAGGAUUAGAUACCCCAGUAGUC